UAUUGGGUAGCAGGCCAGCUACAGUGAUGGGGUGCUUUUUCAGGGGAAGCGGAUGAGAGAGAGAAGGAAAAAAAAAAAGCCAAAGAGGGUUUUUCUGGAGGUUACACUGAGAUAUUUUUGGUGAGGCUAGUAGCUUGAGAGGAGGAGGGAGUUAGAGGUGGAUAACUAGAGAAAGGAGGGGUGGUUUUUGCGGGGGGUUUCAGAGAGACUUUGGAGGAGAAAUCUUUUGGCUGAGAGAGCAAGCUGCAGAGGGAGGUUUUUCAUGGCUUUUUGACAGAGAUUUUGAGGCGUUUGAAGCUGAACAGAACCUUACCGGAGAAGGGCACUCUCAAGUAUGAAUGCAACAGAUUAACAAUGAGAAAAUUCGUGCUUCAUGAUGUUGGUACUCUUACUGGUAUAUAUGUCCAAGAGUCAAACCUGUGACUUCCAAAUCUUAUGAAAAAGUACACCUAGUUUCAUUUGGAAAUCUACAUCCCCACCUAAAGGAAAAUCCUUUUGUAUGGUCGGUGGCAAAUAAGCAACACCAACAAGAAGCUAUAACUAAAUUGAACUCAGUCGAGGCAGUCUAUUCAGAACUAGGUUGUUUUAAGCACUUCAAUAAUGAACAAUGCCUCAAGGCUCAUCUCCAAUCUUGCAACCAACACAUUAUUUGUGAGAUAUGUGGCACCAAACAGUUGAAAAAGAACAUCAAGAGGAACCUCAGGACACGUGAAUAAGGAUGUUCCCCUAAGAGAGUCAAAUGUCACUUCAAGGGUUGUCUCCAUUGUUUAUAAUUGCCAUUUGUGUUAGUUAGUUCUUGUUCAAUUAACAUAGAUAUUUGAGGGACACUCUUACCAUGAGAUGCUUGGGACCCAAAUUUUAGCAUUAUGUAAAUGUUAGAAUGUAGAAAUAAGAAAGCAGAUAAUGAUGACAUGCUUAAACAAAAACAUUACCCAUUGUCU